CUCGUUUAAACUUAAAUUGGAGAAAAACAGUUUCCUUACGACAAAACACGAUAAUAUCAUAUCAACCCGGCUUUUUUACUAGUCUGAAAUAUUGACCAGGAUUCAAGUCUUGCUAGUUCACAAAGUAUCAGUCUGUUGUCUGCUCUCUGGCUGGAGUGUUGUCUCUUUUACAGAUAUUCCCUAUUUCCGAUCUCAAUUUUAUGCAAUUAAACAUGACGUCCUACCCGGACAUAUUAUUGUGAAUCCGGAGCAAUACGUCAUUACUAUCAAUAUCUUAAGCUGAGUAGAAGAGAGCGGACAAACACCUUUCAAAUCUUACGUUUGGUCCAGCUUGCAUCAAACAUCUACUUCUCGCACUCUAGGUGAGCGCG
rnacentral:lncRNA from 1 species